rnacentral:rRNA from 1 species
GAUUGCAGGCUGCAACCCGCCCUGCAUGAAGUCGGAAUUGCUAGUAAUCGCGGAUCAGCAUGCCGCGGUGAAUACGUUCCCGGGCCUUGUACACACCGCCCGUCACACCAUGGGAGCCGGUAAUACCCGAAGUCAGUAGUCCAACCACGUGAGGACGCUGCCGAAGGUAGGAUUGGCGACUGGGGUGAAGUCGUAACAAGGUAGC